AAUUCCUUUUUAUUAAGGGAAUGGUAGAGGUGAAAAAAGUGGGUGGUGAGUUUAGUGGGGAUGAUCAAAAUGAUGGAAGUGGUGGUGGUGGUGUCUCAUUCCCCAAGCUGGAGGCCCUCUUGUUCAGGAAAUGCCAAAUUGGGAGGAGUGGGAAUUGAGAGGUGGAGAUGGAGAGGUUAUGCCAUCACUCCUUGAAUUAACAAUAGAUGACUGCCCAAAGCUGAAGGCGUUGCACUUACCUGUGCUCCCCACCCUUAAUAAUUUGACGAUUGAUGGAAUUCAUGAGCUGACGUCACUACCUGGUGAUUGGUUGGGACAACUAAGAGCCCUCCAAACUCUAGAGAUCUCAUUUUGUCCACAGUUGGAGUCUCUACCAGGGGAGUUGGGACAACUCAAAGCCCUCCAAACUCUGGGGAUCGUUGAAUGUCCACAGUUGAAGUCUCUACCAGAGGAGUUGGGACAACUCGAAGUCCUCUAAACUCUGCGGAUCGUUGAAUGUCCACAGUUGAAGUCUCUACCAGAGGAGUUGGGACAACUCAAAGCUCUCCAAACUCUGCAGAUAAUGGAAUUGUCCACAGUUGAAGUCUCUACCAGAGGAGUUGGGACAACUCAAAGCCCUCCAAACUCUGGAGAUCUAUGGAUGUCCACAGUUGGGAGUCUCUACCAAAGGAGUUGGGACAACUCAAAGCCCUCCAAACUCUGGAAAUCUCCAUUUGUCCACAGUUGAAGUCUCUGCCGGAAGAGUUGCAACACCUCACCAUGCUUCAACAAUUGAUCAUCCAUAUUUGUCCACUCUUAAAAGAGCGCUACCAAGAUGGAGGAGAAGAUCAUCACAAGAUUGCCCACAUCAAGCAUAUCAGCAUUGAAUGAUCCACUCCAAUACGAGGAGAGGAAAUCAACAACAGCUUUUCAUUUGUGUUUGUUUCAAGGAAUUGUGUACUUUAUAUUUAUUUAUUUUUAUUUUCCUUUUUUUAAUGGAUUUACUUUUAAUACAUGUAAAUUAAUCCAUAUGACUGCCUGUUUACUUAUUCCACAUAUUGUUGUUUGUUGUUUUGGAGGUCAGGUAUUUUGCCCCCCUCCAACUUAUGUAACUUUUCCUUUUAUUAAUAAAGCUUGCAUUGGUACUGUCCACCUU